rnacentral:rRNA from 1 species
CUUUGCCUACGGGGCGCAGCAGUGGGGAAUAUUGCACAAUGGGGGAAACCCUGAUGCAGCGACGCCGCGUGAGUGAAGAAGUAUUUCGGUAUGUAAAGCUCUAUCAGCAGGGAAGAUAAUGACGGUACCUGACUAAGAAGCCCCGGCUAACUACGUGCCAGCAGCCGCGGUAAUACGUAGGGGGCAAGCGUUAUCCGGAUUUACUGGGUGUAAAGGGAGCGUAGGUGGCAGGGCAAGUCAGAUGUGAAAACCCGGGGCUCAACUCCGGGAGUGCAUUUGAAACUGUCAAGCUAGAGUGAAGGAGG